GGCUGGGGAAGAAAAUCUUAGACUGGGUUCUGACAUUUUUAACCAGUCUGUGUACCAAACAUCUAUUCUGUUAUGGGUAUAGACUAGUUUCUGAUCAUUUACACCAGUAAAUGUGUAAAGUCUGUACCCUAGGACUCUUGUCCAUCAGUAA